rnacentral:rRNA from 1 species
CGGCAACAGCUCAAAUUUGAAAUCUGGCUCUUUCAGGGUCCGAGUUGUAAUUUGUAGAAGAUGCUUCGGGUGAGGCUCUGGUCUAAGUUCCUUGGAACAGGACGUCAUAGAGGGUGAGAAUCCCGU